ACAUCACGUUGAAAUACCCGUUCCCGUACGAUCACAGAAGUUAAGUAACGUUGAGUGUUGUCAGUAGGUAGAUGGGUGGCCGCUUCGGAAUGCCAAGUGCUGUAAG